rnacentral:tRNA from 1 species
AUAGGCUUCGUAUAGUGGUAAUACCUUGGCUUCCAAACCCAAUGACGGGGGUUCGAUUCCUCCAGCCUGUG